rnacentral:rRNA from 1 species
AUUGAACGCUGGCGGCAGGCCUAACACAUGCAAGUCGAGCGGAUGAAGGGAGCUUGCUCCUGGAUUCAGCGGCGGACGGGUGAGUAAUGCCUAGGAAUCUGCCUGGUAGUGGGGGAUAACGUCCGGAAACGGGCGCUAAUACCGCAUACGUCCUGAGGGAGAAAGUGGGGGAUCUUCGGACCUCACGCUAUCAGAUGAGCCGAGGUCGGAUUAGCUAGUUGGUGGGGUAAAGGCCUACCAAGGCGACGAUCCGUAACUGGUCUGAGAGGAUGAUCAGUCACACUGGAACUGAGACACGGUCCAGACUCCUACGGGAGGCAGCUGUGGGGAAUAUUGGACAAUGGGCGAAAGCCUGAUCCAGCCAUGCCGCGUGUGUGAAGAAGGUCUUCGGAUUGUAAAGCACUUUAAGUUGGGAGGAAGGGCAGUAAGUUAAUACCUUGCUGUUUUGACGUUACCAACAGAAUAAGCACCGGCUAACUUCGUG